rnacentral:rRNA from 1 species
GCACGGUCAGCAAUGGCAGUGGCGGACGGGUGAGUAACACGUAGGAAUCUAUCCCAGGGUGGGGGACAACAGCGGGAAACUGCUGCUAAUACCGCAUGAUACCUGAGGGUCAAAGGCGCAAGUCGCCUUGGGAGGAGCCUGCGUCUGAUUAGCUUGUUGGUGAGGUAAAGGCUCACCAAGGCGACGAUCAGUAGCUGGUCUGAGAGGAUGAUCAGCCACAUUGGGACUGAGACACGGCCCAAACUCCUACGGGAGGCAGCAGUGGGGAAUAUUGGACAAUGGGCGAAAGCCUGAUCCAGCAAUGCCGCGUGUGUGAAGAAGGUCUUCGGAUUGUAAAGCACUUUUGGCAGGGACGAUGAUGA